rnacentral:rRNA from 1 species
AAGGGCACCACAAGAACGCGUGGAGCAUGUGGCUUAAUUUGACUCAACGCGGGAAAUCUUACCGGGUCCGGACACACUGAGGAUUGACAGGUGGUUUAAUAUCACACACAUACGUGUGUGUUNAUAUUCAUGAAAUAUGCUAGUUCUUUCAUGAUUAUGUGAUAGGUGGUGCAUGGCCGUUCUUAGUUCGCGGAGUGAUCUGUCUGCUUAAUUGCGUAUCACUAAACGUGUAAAUAUACAUAUGUGUAUGUUGCGUCUCACGAUGCAUAUUACGCAUAUCAUACACGUUGAUAGCAACGAACGUGACCGUAACCUCUUGUUGCCUGGCUCGAAGACUCGUCUCAGUGUAUUCAAACACACUGUGGAGACCAGAUGCAAACUAGAGGGACCGCUGUAUUCUUUCUUAAACCAGGGGAAGGUUACGGCAAUAACAGGUCUGUGAUGCCCUUAGAUGUUCCGGGCCGCACACGUGCUACAAUGAUUAUUGCAGUGAGCAUCUCGAUAUUAGACAAAUUCAUCACAUAUGUUAUGCGUGCAUAUUAUGUAUGUAUAAUGUGUGUAUGAAUACUGCCUGCUUCGAAAGUUCGCGGGUAAUCAAUUAACAACAAUGAUUUCCAAAUAUAUAUAGCACACAUAUAUGUGAUUAUGCUAUCCACAUACAUCUUUGUGUGUAUGUCGUGCAUAUGCAUAAAUUUUCACAUGCGGCAAUUGUCAAUUCAUGGUGGGGACAGACUAUUGUUAAUUAUUAGUCUCGGUCUUAACUAGGAAUGCCUUGUACUGGUUUAGUUCAUCAGACUACCAGGAAUACGUCCCUGCCCUUUGUACACACCGCCCGUCGCUCUUACCGAUGAACUAUACUGUGAGUAUAUUGGACUGUGCAUGCAUCAUCAUCUGUUUUGCUGUGAGGAAAAAUACGCGAACAGUGUGGUUUAAAGGAAAGAGAAGUCGAACAAGGCA